rnacentral:rRNA from 1 species
UACGUAGGCAGCAAGCGUUGUUCGGAAUUACUGGGCGUAAAGAGUGUGUAGGCGGUGUUCUAAGUCUGUUGUGAAAACUCGAGGCUCAACCUCGAGACGCCGAUGGAAACCAUCUGACUAGAGUCCGGAAGAGGAGAGUGGAAUUCCUGGUGUAGCGGUGAAAUGCGCAGAUAUCAGGAAGAACACCCGUGGCUAAGGCGGCUCUCUAGUACGGUACUGACGCUGAGACGCGAAAGCGUGGGGAGCGAACAGG